GAUUUGUCUGGUUAAUUCCGAUAACGAACGAGACCUUAACCUGCUAACUAGUCUGUCACAUUUCAUGUGAUUUGACUUCUUAGAGGGACUAUGUAUGUUAAUUACAUGGAAGUUUGAGGCAAUAACAGGUCUGUGAUGCCCUUAUAUGUCCUGGGCUGCACGCGUGCUACACUGAUACAUACAAUAAGUGCCUAUCCCGCUAGGCCAUGGCAAUCUCGAAUAUGUAUCGUGAUGGGGAUAGAUCUUUGCAAUUAUAGAUCUUGAACGAGGAAUUCCUAGUAAGUGCAAGUCAUCAUCUUGCAUUGAUUAUGUCCCUGCCCUUUGUACACACCGCCCGUCGCUCCUACCGGUACCGGGUGGUCCGGUGAACCUUUUGGACCGCGCAAGUGGAAAGAUAAGUAAACCAUAUCACCUAGAGGAAGGAGAAGUCGUAACAAGGUUUCCGUAGGUGAACCUGCRGAAGGAUCA
rnacentral:rRNA from 1 species